GUAGCUGACUUCAAAAUUUGACAUUGUCCGUCUUCCAAAAUCGGACCAGCAAAAUGUAGUUGGCUUGAAAGUUUGACAUUAUCUGGCUUCCAAAAUCGGACCAGCAAAAUGUAGUUGGCUUGAAAAUUUGACAUUAUCUGGCUUCCAAAAUCGGACCAGCAAAAUGUAGUUGACUUGAAAAUUUGACAUUAUCUGGCUUCCAAAAUCGGACCAGCAAAAUGUAGUUGGCUUGAAAAUUUGACAUUAUCUGUCUUCCAAAAUCGGACCAGCAAAAUGUAGUUGGCUUGAAAAUUUGACAUUGUCUGGCUUCCAAAAUCGAACCAGCAAAAUGUAGUUGGCUUGAAAAUUUGACAUUAUCUGGCUUCCAAAAUCGGACCAGCAAAAUGUAGUUGGCUUGAAAAUCUGACAUUAUCUGUCUUCCAAAACCUUGCAUAAGGAUAAAGGACUGUUUCGAAUUUUUAUUAGGAUUGAUAUAUUCAUCUUGGGGUAAGAGGUACGCCAAUGUGACGACUUAAUCACAUGGCGAACCACGGCCUCUCGUCCAGUUACCAUUUCAUCUAGAGUAUGGAAUUACUAAGCCAGGUAUUUGUUUCGGAUGUAUGGACUUGGUUUCAGAUGCAAGGAAUUGGUGGCGAAGCAAGCCAUAACAAACCACGGCCUCUCGUUCGGUUACCAUUUCAUAUCGAGAAUAGAAUUACUAAGCCAGUUAUUUGUUUCGGAUAUAUAUACGGACUUGGUUUCAAAUGCAUAAACUUGAUGAUUGAGGAAGCCAUACCCGACCAGCGGUCACCUGAACCACACUCACUGAUAAAUUGGGAGUCAAACAAUAACUGGCGUAAGAAAAAAAUUGAAAUAAUAUGGAAUGAAAGAUUCAAUUUGGUGCUACAAAUAAGCUGCGCCAUCAAACAUUCCUGCUUAACACAGUUCCCAAUAAUGUUUCAAAUUUAUUGAAAUGAGUGUUUCGGAUUUGCACUAAAACUGAGAUAACAGACUUUAAUUGGUAAAAGCUUCUAAUGCUUUAAAAUGGUUAUUUAAAUUUGCGACUAAAAAAUUAAUUACGGGUCCCCUGACACUAACUGAUUUGCCCAAAUCUCAUCACUCGAUGAAAAUUGAGCAGGGGGUUGAGAGCACCCACUGAAAGUUUACGAUGCUACCAAAGCCGGAUGUAGUUCUAGUAAGAUAUGUAAUCAGAUAAAGCUUUAAUGAGGCUAAUCGGACAAAGUGAAACUAAAAGUUUUUAAAUGUAGAAAGUCAUAUUGAGAUUUUAUUAUAAAUUUUUAAAUUAGAAGUCGUGGAAGCUUUGAAAACGUAAUUAUUUGACAUUCGAGAGCUUCAAUAAGAUUUGCAAGCAAGAAGCCAAUUGAAAUAGUUGAAUCUAUAAUUAGUGACGUAAGUUAUUAGUGCAGGAAAUAUGUACAGUAAUACUACUCAGUAUAUUCUAGAAAGCCCCAGCGAGAUGAGGACAAACUCGGCAAAUUUAGAGGACGUUUUGCGAAGCAUGACUGCGAAGCUGUAUGUGACCAUUUUAUGAACGAAAACCUCUUUUGGACAUGCCCGCAGAUCGAAAUCAUACAAACUAUUUUUGUGAACUAAGACGGAAAGUUUUGAGAUAUUUUCAAGAAUUGUUGUUUUCAUUGAUAGUUUUUAUGACCAUUCAAGUCUGAAUGUUUUGAUACAUCUUUUUGGUCAGAAAAUGCAGAAACAUUAGGAUUAAGUUUGCAAUUAGCGAGUCUAUUCCAGCAUCGGAUCAAGCGCAGAGGCUGAAGGAUAUAUUUAUAAGCGCAGCAGCGAUUGAAGUAUUUAUAGAGUAGGUUCCCAUUGUGAAAUAUAGUUUGCAAUAGUUUCAUUGCUUAUAACAGAAAUGAGGAUUUUAAUAACAGUGGUUAGCUGAAUGACGAAACUCUACGGACGUUGGAAGAGGCAUAUACGUUUUGAAAUCGAAAUUAGUCUUACUACGGAAUGUGAAACUCCCUGUUCGCAUUUACUAACACAAAGAACAAUAGUUUUGGGCAAUUGAAGAAAAUCGUUCAAUACCAACUUCAUUACUUGAAAUCGAGAUGAUUGGAACUGACUGGUACAAAUAUUCGUUCGGUGAUGAUUCGAAUCUGGAAAUAACAUCGUUCGCAAAACAUAUAUCACACAUGGUUUCAAUAGUCCAAUGAAGUCGACACAUUUUCUCAAAUGCAAAAUUCAAAAAGUCAUGGCGCGUUUGAAAUUUUGGCAAGAAUGAUUUCAAGCCUUUAUAAACUUCAUAAUUUACAAAUUUUUCUCCAUCAUUGAAAGAAAAGCAAUCAAUGACUAUUAACUCAAAUCAUUAUCAAAGACGAAUCUCAAAUGAUUAAUAGUUCUGGCUAGUGUCUAUCAAAAAGGAUGUGGCAGUGCAAUAUCAACAUAUGAAUUUGUUCGGAAGAUGUUACCUGGAACACAAAUACUCUUAUAUGGUGCACAGACCCACUUGAGAUCUGUCUCAUGUCCUUUGUUUGGAUUUUUAUGUAUAGAGAUUGAACUCUGAAUUCUUCGAAAAACUUGCUGUUCGUUAUCAGUAUAUAUAAUAUCAUCCAAGUCAAAACACGGAAAUCCUUUAUAAUUCACAAAAGAAGAGGCCAGAUCUUUGGAAAUAAAGUUGGCAGCGAUUAAACCGGUUGGUGAAGGCCUUUUGUCGCCACAGACUUUGCAACAACAACAUUUGUCCCGAACAGACGCUGAAGACUACAACUUAUUCAUCGCCAAGAAGACUGGUAUGCGAUUACCAGUAAAAAGGUAUAUACGUUUUGUAUGCGCAACAACAACAUUUGUUCCGGACAGGCAUCGAAGACCACAACUUAUCCAUUGCCAAGAAGACUUACAUGCGAUUACCAAUGUCAAGAUACGUUUGGUAUGCGAUUAACACGAACGAAGAGUUUCGCGGAAUCGAAGUGAAGAACCGAUUAUGCAAAAUGAAGAUUCAAUAUGAAGCUAACCAGAGUAAAAAAGAAAACGAAAAAGAAAAUCUCGUUGCUGCGCGGAUCCUGGGUGGACAAAAUAAUGUACAACUAAACUACCAUAAGGGUUUAACAAGCGCUGACGGAAGCAUGAUGCCGACAAAACCGAUGUUCGACGGAAAGGGUAGUAAAUAUUUAUGUUGGUGACGCUGAAGGGCUCGAAUUGAGGAUGAAUGAACGGAAUGGUGUAAGAAUUUAUUCCUACAUGAAUACAAUUUAUGUAUUUCAGGUGCUUUUCUAUAGUGUUUUUAUGUUGAGGUUUCGGAAAAUACAGAAGUUGGAACAUGACAUUGCAAGUUGAAUCUGGACAUAAUGGUUGUAUGGCUUCUGAUUUGUUGACAAUUGAUCUCCAAAUAUGCUGC